rnacentral:lncRNA from 1 species
CUUUCGUCAAGGAGCAGAAGGAAGCAAGAUGGCUGCCCUUUAGGAUUGGGUAGGAGGCAGAGCCCAGCGCGUCGGACAGACGGACGGACGGGGGAGGAGGAGGAAGAGGAGGGCGGCCCAGGCCCAGAGAUACAGUAAGAGGGCAACCUUGUGG